ACUGUAUAGAAUGAUUGAUUUGAAAGCAGUGUUCCGGGAAGCGACUUUAAUUUUAAGUACCCCCUGUGCUAAUGAACUGAGCAAAUUCCACAUUGAUAACCUUGGGUUUUCUUGGAUAUGACUGCGGAGUUCUUCCCAAAAUAUGGAGGCUAUUCCCAUGCCCACUUUACAGAUUUUGCCUAAUUGGGCAUGACAAUGAGAAAACCCACAUGGAUUUAUUUUCUAGAUACUUCUUCCAUGCAAAAUGAGAAACGCUCUUCUUCUAUCUGCUUGGGAGCAUAUAGUGCACAACACGGGCCAAUGAACACAGAAUUCUGGUGGACCUACUAUGCCUGGGAUUUCAGUGAGACUCAAAGUGAGUGCAAGUCACCAUCAUAAAGAUUCAAUAUUCAAGACCACGAAGAAGAACCCAGACCAGGGAUUGCUUCAUUUGGAUUCCACCUACCGCAGUUGUUACAUCUAAGUAGGGACAACGAAAAUCUCCUGCUAUGGUCUUGAUCCUAGUCAGUAAAAGAGCAAAUUCCAAGCCUCCUAAGGGGCAUUUUCAUCCUUCCCCAUCUGUCCUUACAGAUAAGGAAGAGAUUCCAGGAAUGACUCGGUUCCUGGAACCUAGAAUUAGUCCCCCUUGUUUUCUUUAUCUAUCCAAAUCCUGUCUUAGGGAUCAACUUUCACAAGCUUUCUCUCCUUAAAGACUUUCACCUCGAAUUACCUUUUUUUUUUGUCAUAUUCCUAUUCCUAUCUGGAGUCACACUCUUGAGAACCUUCUAUACUUUCGUCAUGCAUUUAUUAGCAGAUAUCUAUAAAGUUCCUACAGUGUGUCAGGCACUGUGCUAGGCGCUAGUGCAACAAUGAUGAAUGCUAUACACAUCCACCUCACCCUUUUAUAGUUUAUAGUAUCAUGGGGAGAUGGAGAAGUAGAUGCUCAAUAAACACAUUUUGUCUGAUGGGUAUACCUUGAAACAGCAAAAGUAAAGUCUGUUUCAUCAUAAUUUGAUCCGUUCACAUUUAUGGGCCAGAUCCUGUGGUAGACCUGGGAUACAAAGAUGAACUAAACAGAGACUCUGCUCUCAAGAGUUUAUAUAAUCUGCAUUUGCAGGUUAUAAUAAACUCUGAUCUGCAUCUUUGGGCAAAAGCAUUCUUUUCUAGGUAUCUUAACCACGAUCUCAAGUAUGUGCUCUGUGUGUUUACUGACAUAUCAUCAAACACAGUCUGUAGGGAAAGUAAAUGAAAUACGAACCAAAGGCGCCAGUCCUUGGAGUGUUGUGGCUUCCUCUGCCUCGUAGAGAUAGAAAUUCAAAGGAGCAAAGAAGUAGCCAGGGGCUGGUUCAGAGCAGCUACGGCCAGUGACAUGUGGGCGGCAUUCACACUGCCCAUUCUUGGGUGAGCACCUGAGGAAAAAGCAAUUCAUCAUGAAAAAAUGCAAAGUAGGUGAGCGGAAAAUGAAGGUGUAGGGGUGCUGGGCUAAUGCUCCCUGAGUUUGGAGCAAUCCUUAGAAUCAGUCAAUCAAUGGUCCUGUGGGAAGAUGCAGAAAGGCCAUGGGUUUAACAUAACUGGUCUUGAAUAGUGAAUCCAGGGCCAUGGAGCCCAGGCGGCCACUUUCCCCACCCUCCGCCCCCAACCCCCCACUGCCAGGUUCUGCUCUAAAAUCUGGCAAAAAGGGGGCUUUAGGAUCUCUCUUUACAACAUGGCAAAAAGCUGGUGUUUUAGGCAGGUCACACGUAUUCAAGCACCCAUGCCACCAGCUUGUGGUGGGAUACCCAGCAGAAGGAUUGUUUACCUCACCCUUGGAAAUAUUUGAAGUGAAAGAAAUCAAUGGGCUGUAGUUAAUGUCUCAAGAUCAUUGCUUGUCAUGGAAUGAAAUUUUUCACCUAUGACUAUGAGCGUAUCAGAAUAAAAUGUGCUUUUAUGUUUAAAUAAGGAA